rnacentral:SRP_RNA from 1 species
GAUGGACCCCCCGCGGCGUGUAUCCUGCGAGUUCCCCCACGGCCGGAAGGCAGCAAGGGUCAAUGGGCGCUGGCGUGUGCGCGGGGUCCCCCUCG